UACGUAGGGGGCGAGCGUUGUCCGGAUUUAUUGGGCGUAAAAGGCUUGUAGGUGGCCACGUCAAGUCGGAUGUGAAAUCUCCCGGCUCAACUGGGAGGGUCAUUCGAUACUGGCGGGCUCGAGGCCGGUAGGGGAAGCGGAAGUUCCCGGUGUAGCGGUGAAAUGUGUAGAGAUCGGGAGGAACACCGGUGGCGAAGGCGGCCUGCUGGGCAGUAGCUGACACUGAGGCGCGACAGCGUGGGAGCAACAGG
rnacentral:rRNA from 1 species